rnacentral:rRNA from 1 species
GACGUAGGGGGGCGAGCGUUGUCCGGAUUCACUGGGCGUAAAGCGCGCGUAGGCGGCUCGUUAAGUCGGAUGUGAAAACCCGGGGCUCAACCCCGGGCCUGCACCCGAUACUGGCGGGCUGGAGGCAGGUAGGGGAGAUCGGGAAUUCCCGGUGUAGCGGUGAAAUGCGCAGAUAUCAGGAGGAACACCCGUAGCGAAGGCGGCACUCUGGGCCGGAACUGACGCUGAGGAGCGAAAGCGUGGGGAGCAAACAGG